rnacentral:lncRNA from 1 species
GGCUUAAUUCUCUUAUAACUAUUUAAUAAUUGUCACAAUUGUUCUGAAUUUAUUCAAUAGAUUGAGUUUAUACUUUUGUCCAUCAGAUUAAUACAAUGCUUGAUGUAUAUAGACUGUUGUUUGUCAUAUUGUAUUUUUUAACUUAAUUAUGUCAUAAUAGUUAUUGCUCUCACCCAAAAUUUUCCAUUUAUAUACACUUAUAUACACUAACACCUGCCAUUUUCCAAAUUUAUGCCAACAGAGUCAAAACCUCUACAGAGGAGUAGAAAGAAUGUAAGCCACCUGUACAGCAGAGCUAGCAAGACCUAGAUCCCCUUCCACCACCCAGUACCAUAUUAUAUAAACACCUGCCCAAACUCGUUUGAACAAUGAGCAACCAAAGGUUGCCCAUAUUUUGAUGUUUUUAUAACUGCUUGAUCUAUUAAAAUAUGUCCAAUAUUUUCACACAUAAAACAUGUUAUUAGUUUAUUUUUUGUAACUUAAGCUUGCUAAACUAAGCAUGAUACCACUUUUUACAUCUCCAUGUUUAUAAAAAUAUUACCAUUUUCC